CGACUUUUAGUUUGCCUUCCCGAAACUAAGUGAGCUACUUUAAAGCAGCUAUUAGAGCUAACCCGUCUCUGUCGCAAAAGAGUGGGGUGACUUUAAAGUAGAGGUGAUAGACCUACCGAACUUAGAGAUAGCUGGUUUUUUAAGAAAAGAAUUUUAGUUCAGCCCCAAGCCUUUCGUUAAGCAAAAAACCUUCUUAGGCCUGGGAGUCAUUCAUAUAGGGCACAGCCUAUUUGAAACAGGAUACAACCUAGAAUAUAGGGUAAAACAAUGUGAUUUUUCUAUAAGUGGGCUUGAAAGCAGCCACCUUUCAAAAAGCGUUGUAGCUUAUUGAUACUGAUUAUUUAAUAACCUCAAAAAUGUUUAACCCACACACACUAUUAAACUAUCCCAUAAAUUUAUGGGAGCUAUCAUGCUAGAACAAGUAACAAGAAAAAGAUUUUUCUCCAAAAUACAAGCUUUAGCCGCUACAGACAAACUACCGGCA
rnacentral:rRNA from 1 species